rnacentral:tRNA from 1 species
GCUGGGGAUGUGGCUCAGAGGUAGAGUGUGUGCUUAGCAUGCUCAAGGCCCUGGGCUUGAUCCCCAGGAGCA